UACGUAGGGUGCGAGCGUUAAUCGGAAUUACUGGGCGUAAAGCGUGCGCAGGCGGCGGCUCAAGUCAGGUGUGAAAUCCCCGGGCUUAACCUGGGAAUUGCGCUUGAAACUAGGCUGCUUGAGUGUGGCAGAGGGGGGUGGAAUUCCACGUGUAGCAGUGAAAUGCGUAGAGAUGUGGAGGAACACCGAUGGCGAAGGCAGCCCCCUGGGUCGACACUGACGCUCAUGCACGAAAGCGUGGGGAGCAAACAGG
rnacentral:rRNA from 1 species